CAAGUCGAGCGCCGUAGCAAUACGGAGCGGCGAACGGGUGAGUAACACGUAAAGAAUCUGCCCUGAAGCGGGGAAUAGCUAUCCCAACGGAUAGCUAAUACCGCAUAAUGAUGGAGGAGGCAUCUCCUUUUCUCAAAAGGCUUCGGCCACUUCAGGAUGACUUUGCGUCCCAUUAGCUUGUUGGCGGUGUAACGGACCACCAAGGCGACGAUGGGUAUCCGGCCUGAGAGGGUGUACGGACACAUUGGGACUGAGAUACGGCCCAGACUCCUACGGGAGGCAGCAGUAGGGAAUUUUGCGCAAUGGAGGAAACUCUGACGCAGCAACGCCAUGUGUGGGAUGAAGCAUUUCGGUGUGUAAACCACUGUCAGCAGGGAAUAAAAGGCUCUUUAUGGGCAUUUGAAUGUACCUGCGAAGGAAGCCCCGGCUAACUUCGUGCCAGCAGCCGCGGUAAUACGAGGGGGGCAAAUGUUGUUCGGAAUCACUGGGCGUAAAGGGAGCGUAGGCGGGUUUUUAAGUUAGGUGUUUAAUACCGGGGCCCAACCCCGGACCGGCACUUAAAACUGGGAAUCUUGAAUAGUGGAGAGGUCAGUGGAAUUGGGGGUGUAGCGGUGGAAUGCGUAGAGAUCCCCAAGAACACCAGUUGCGAAGGCGGCUGACUGGACACAUAUUGACGCUGAGGCUCGAAAGCAUGGGGAGCAAACAGGAUUAGAUACCCUGGUAGUCCAUGCCAUAAACGACGAAUACUAGGUUUUGGGCCCGUCAACGGUCCAGAGCCGCAGCUAACGCGUUAAGUAUUCCGCCUGGGGAGUACGGUCGCAAGACUGAAACUCAAAGGAAUUGACGGGGGCCCGCACAAGCGGUGGAGCAUGUGGUUUAAUUCGACGC
rnacentral:rRNA from 1 species